AACGAACGCUGGCGGCAUGCCUAACACAUGCAAGUCGAACGAGACCUUCGGGUCUAGUGGCGCCCGGGUGCGUAACGCGUGGGAACCUGCCCUUAGGUUCGGAAUAACUCCCCGAAAGGGGUGCUAAUACCGGAUAAUGUCUUCGGACCAAAGAUUUAUCGCCUUUGGAUGGGCCCGCGUUGGAUUAGCUAGUUGGUAGGGUAAAAGCCUACCAAGGCGACGAUCCAUAGCUGGUCUGAGAGGCUGAUCAGCCACACUGGGACUGAGACACGGCCCAGACUCCUACGGGAGGCAGCAGUGGGGAAUAGUGGACAAUGGGCGAAAGCCUGAUCCAGCAAUGCCGCGUGAGUGAUGAAGGCCUUAGGGUUGUAAAGCUCUUUUACCCGGGAUGAUAAUGACAGUACCGGGAGAAUAAGCUCCGGCUAACUCCGUG
rnacentral:rRNA from 1 species